AUUGCUGAUUUGGUCAAGAUGUAAACAUAUCGUAGAGCUCCAGCAUGGGGGCUCACGCCUGUAAUACAAACACUUUGGAAGGCCAAGGUGGGAGAAUCACUCAAGCCCAGGAGUUUAAGAUCAACCUGGGCAACAAAAUCAGGCCAAGCAAUUCUGGCCAUUGGGACGUCCAUUAUACUGCUCACCUGGAAAAGGCAGCGCCCAGCACAAACGCAGCAUACUCCUUCACGAGGGGCUCUGUGCUGUUCAGCCCAUUGAUCACCACUUGAAGACCACCAAAGGAAAGCAGGUUGACUGCAUCUGAAGACAUUCAUGAUAAAAUAUGCAAGAAAAUCGCUCUCCCAAAGGUUUCUGUCUAAGCCUGUGCUACUGGCUAGUGGCUAUGUAUCAGACAGUGCAGAACAUUUCUAUCAUUACAUAAAGUUCUAUUCAACAGCAUUGGUCUAGGCUAUCAUUUAAGCUCCAAAUCCCCAAGUCCGGAUUCUCUCUUUUACUCUAUAGCGGAUCUCAUUACCCACAGUUUAUUAGUACCCUGGAACAAGACAACUCGCUUUCCUCAGAAAGGUCACUGGAUCCUGUUUUCUACAUGUACCCGCUACAGUCUCCCUCGAAUAUAUCUUUGUUGCCACAAAGGCUGCAUCUUGCCCAUAUGCUAAUCCCACGCUAUCAAUCAUGAGGAAAACUCAGGAAGCUGAAGCCCAACAACUGUGGCUGCUACCCAUCUUUCUCCUCCAGAUUCCACAGGGCCCCUUCCCAACUGCAUCCUUGCCUCUCUGAACUAGGAGAGGACUCUGACAGAGAAAUCAAGUGUGAGGAUUGGUAUUUGACUGUGCUAGUGUUUUGUGGUGGCCUAGCCUGUUGUUGCCACUUGAAAAAUCAUAUUCAUACACAUUUGGAUGGAAUCUCCAUGACAGCAGGGGUUUUGUCUGUCUGUCCACGCUUGUAGCUCCAGGGACUAGGAUGGUGCUGAGCAUAUGGUUAGGUGUUCAAUGAAUAACUGUUGCAUUAAUGAGUAUGAAUUUGAUCAGAAAAGAAUGUUCCUGAAAUAAAGCUCCAGUGUGAAUAAA
rnacentral:lncRNA from 10 species